UAUUCUGUUGGUAACGUCAAAACAGCAAGGUAUUAACUUACUGCCCUUCCUCCCAACUUAAAGCGCUUUACAAUCCGAAGACCUUCUUCACACACGCGGCAUGGCUGGAUCAGGCUUUCGCCCAUUGUCCAAUAUUCCCCACUGCUGCCUCCCGUAGGAGUCUGGACCGUGUCUCAGUUCCAGUGUGACUGAUCAUCCUCUCAGACCAGUUACGGAUCGUCGCCUUGGUAGGCCUUUACCCCACCAACUAGCUAAUCCGACCUAGGCUCAUCUGAUAGCGUGAGGUCCGAAGAUCCCCCACUUUCUCCCUCAGGACGUAUGCGGUAUUAGCGCCCGUUUCCGGACGUUAUCCCCCACUACCAGGCAGAUUCCUAGGCAUUACUCACCCGUCCGCCGCUGAAUCCAGGAGCAAGCUCCCUUCAUCCGCUCGACUUGCAUGUGUUAGGCCUGCCGCCAGCGUUCAAUCUGAGCCAGGAUCAAACCCUC
rnacentral:rRNA from 1 species